UGGGGAAUAUUGGACAAUGGGCGCAAGCCUGAUCCAGCCAUGCCGCGUGAGUGAUGAAGGCCCUAGGGUUGUAAAGCUCUUUCACCGGUGAAGAUAAUGACGGUAACCGGAGAAGAAGCCCCGGCUAACUUCGUGCCAGCAGCCGCGGUAAUACGAAGGGGGCUAGCGUUGUUCGGAUUUACUGGGCGUAAAGCGCACGUAGGCGGACUUUUAAGUCAGGGGUGAAAUCCCGGGGCUCAACCCCGGAACUGCCUUUGAUACUGGAAGUCUUGAGUAUGGUAGAGGUGAGUGGAAUUCCGAGUGUAGAGGUGAAAUUCGUAGAUAUUCGGAGGAACACCAGUGGCGAAGGCGGCUGACUGGACAAUUACUGACGCUGAGGUGCGAAAGCGGGGGGAGCAAACAGG
rnacentral:rRNA from 1 species